UCGAGAAUCUUCGGCAAUGGGCGCAAGCCUGACCGAGCGACACCGCGUGCGGGAUGAAGGCCUUCGGGUUGUAAACCGCUGUCGUAGGGGAGGAAGGGCCUGUGAAAAACAGGACUUGACCGAUCCUAGGAGGAAGGGCCGGCUAAUCUCGUGCCAGCAGCCGCGGUAAUACGAGAGGCCCAAACGUUAUUCGGAUUUACUGGGCUUAAAGAGUUCGUAGGCGGCUUGGAAAGUGGGGUGUGAAAGCCCUCGGCUCAACCGAGGAAUUGCGCUCCAAACUGCCGAGCUUGAGGAAGCUAGAGGUGAGCAGAACUGAUGGUGGAGCGGUGAAAUGCGUUGAUAUCAUCAGGAAUACCGGAGGCGAAGGCGGCUCACUGGGACUUUUCUGACGCUGAGGAACGAAAGCUAGGGGAGCAAACGGGAUUAGAUACCCUGGUAGUCCUAGCCGUAAACGGUGAGCACUGGACCGAGGGCCUGCACAGGCCCCCGGUCGUAGCGAAAGUGUUAAGU
rnacentral:rRNA from 1 species